UACGUAGGUGGCAAGCGUUGUCCGGAUUUACUGGGCGUAAAGAGCGCGCAGGCGGUUGGAUAAGUCGAAUGUGAAAGCCCCCGGCUCAACUGGGGAGGGUCAUUCGAUACUGUCCGACUCGAAGGCAGGAGAGGGAAGCGGAAUUCCCGGUGUAGUGGUGAAAUGCGUAGAUAUCGGGAGGAACACCAGUGGCGAAGGCGGCUUUCUGGAACGGUACUGACGCUGAGACGCGAAAGCGUGGGGAGCGAACAGG
rnacentral:rRNA from 1 species